rnacentral:rRNA from 1 species
UACGGAGGGUGCAAACGUUGCUCGGAAUCAUUGGGCGUAAAGCGCACGUAGGCGGUCCGUUAUGUCGGGUGUGAAAGCCCUCGGCUUAACCGAGGAAGUGCAUUCGAAACUGGCGGACUUGAGUACCGGAGAGGGUCGCGGAAUUCCCGGUGUAGAGGUGAAAUUCGUAGAUAUCGGGAGAAACACCAGUGGCGAAGGCGGCGACCUGGACGGAUACUGACGCUGAGGUGCGAAAGCGUGGGGAGCAAACAGG